CCCUUAGAUGUCCUGGGCCGCACGCGUGCUACACUGAUGUAUACAGCGAGUACUUUCCAGCUCCGCGAGGCAGCUGGUAAUCAGCAAUAUGCAUCGUGCUGGGGAUAGAUCUUUGGAAUUAUAGAUCUUGAACGAGGAAUUCCUAGUAAGCGCAAGUCAUUAGCUUGCGCUGAUUAAGUCCCUGCCCUUUGUACACACCGCCCGUCGCUCCUACCGAUUUCGAGUGAUUCGGUGAACCUUUUGGACAGCGUCUGUCCUCGUGUCAGAUGCUGAAAGUCAAGUAAACCAUAUCACUUAGAGGAAGGAGAAGUCGUAACA
rnacentral:rRNA from 1 species